UGGAGUCCACCAUGAUGGCGCGGUGCUCGGUCCCCGCGAAGAGCGGCGCACACUUGGUGAUGAGCGGCAGCACCGCCAGGCACAGGCUAUUCAUUUGCUAGAAAAACUGGAUUAUCUAUCCGCGGAGUUACCCACACUUUUAUUUGGGCUGGUCACGUCCACUCACUGUCUCCAAUACCUCACCUGCCAGACCCUCGUAAACCCUCGCCAGUAAGGCUUUUACCCCACCGCCUCACUGAACGUGCUCAUCGAGGUCACCAGUGACCUCCAUUUGGCCACACCAGUGGUCUUUGUCUCCUUGGUGCUGAGCCAUCGCCGAGAAUGAUCAUUUCUCGAAUAAGAAAGAUGAGAUGUUGAAGAUCUCCACCCACCCUCGCCCAGAACUCAGAGUUCAUCUUGGUUUCGUUUUCUAUCUUGACGGGGGGUGGGGAGGGAGGAUUAUGAUAUGUACACAUGCCCAGAACAAACAGAAGCGCUGCCGCUGUGCCCUUGACCAUCCUGCUCCCUCACGGGCGGCGGGGAGGGUGGCUCGGCA